GGAGAGUUUGAUCCUGGCUCAGGAUGAACGCUGGCGGCGUGCCUAAUACAUGCAAGUCGAACGGAGAGUCUUUGUAGCAAUACGAGGGCUUCUUAGUGGCGAACGGGUGAGUAACGCGUUGGUGACCUGCCCCAAAGUGUGGGAUAACAGUCCGAAAGGAUUGCUAAUACCGCAUGUGGUCCCCGGGUUUAGAAACCGGUGACUAAAGCAGUAAUGCGCUUUGGGAGGGACCUGCGUCCCAUCAGCUAGUUGGUGAGGUAACGGCCCACCAAGGCUACGACGGGUAGGGGACCUGAGAGGGUGGCCCCCCACAAUGGAACUGAAACACGGUCCAUACACCUACGGGUGGCAGCAGUAGGGAAUAUUGCACAAUGGGCGAAAGCCUGAUGCAGCAACGCCGCGUGCGCGAAGAAGGUCUUCGGAUCGUAAAGCGCUUUUCUGGGAGAUGAGAAAGGACAGUAUCCCAGGAAUAAGUCUCGGCUAACUACGUGCCAGC
rnacentral:rRNA from 1 species